CCGGUGUGUGAAGAAGGCUGCGGGUUGUAAAGCACUUUAAGCAGGCAAGAAUGGGCUAAGGCUAAUACCCUUGGUCAGUGACGUUACCUGCAGAAUAAGCACCAGGCUAACUCCGUGCCAGCAGCCGCGGUAAUACGGAGGGUGCGAGCGUUAAUCGGAAUUACUGGGCGUAAAGCGCGCGUAGGCGGUUGGCUAAGUUUGCUGUGAAAGCCCCGGGCUUAACCUGGGAACUGCAGUGAAUACUGGUCGGCUAGAGUAUGGUAGAGGGUAGUGGAAUUUCCGGUGUAGCAGUGAAAUGCGUAGAGAUCGGAAGGAACACCAGUGGCGAAGGCGGCUAUCUGGACCAAUACUGACGCUGAGGUGCGAAAGCGUGGGGAGCAAACAGGAUUAGAUACCCUGGUAGUCCACGCCCUAAACGAUGAGAACUAGCCGUUGGGUCCGGUUACGGAUUUAGUGGCGCAGCUAACGCGUUAAGUUCUCCGCCUGGGGAGUACGGACGCAAGGUUAAAACUCAAAUGAAUUGACGGUGGCCCGAACAAGCGGUGGAGCAUGUGGUAUAA
rnacentral:rRNA from 1 species